UACGGAGGGGGCUAGCGUUGUUCGGAAUUACUGGGCGUAAAGCGCACGUAGGCGGCUUUGUAAGUUAGAGGUGAAAGCCCGGGGCUCAACUCCGGAAUUGCCUUUAAGACUGCACCGCUAGAAUUGUCGGAGAGGUAAGUGGAAUUCCGAGUGUAGAGGUGAAAUUCGUAGAUAUUCGGAAGAACACCAGUGGCGAAGGCGACUUACUGGACACAUAUUGACGCUGAGGUGCGAAAAGCGUGGGGAGCAAACAGGGAUUAGAUAACCCU
rnacentral:rRNA from 1 species